rnacentral:tRNA from 1 species
GGUGUAGCUCAGUGGUAGAGAGUCUGCCUGGCAUGCAUGAGGCUCUGGGUUUAAUCCCCAGGACCACCU